CGGGGCAUGUGAGAUCUUAGUUAACUCCCCGACCAGGUAUACCCCCUGCACUGGAAGGCGAAGUCUUAACCACUGGACUGCCAGGGAAGUCCCAGUAAUUCAAUCUAGAAGACAAAAAUUUAAUAGGGCAUUAAUGUCAUUGGAAAUUAAGAGAAAUUUAAAUAUGCAUACAUACAUAUUAUAGAUUGAAGUAUUAUAGGAUGAUCAAUGAAGGACUUUCAAGCAUAAAAGUAUAUCCCAUUUGAAGCAGCAGCAUAGCACAAGGAGAUCGGCUUGGUGCUUUGCAAUGACCUAGAGGGGUGGGAUAGGGAGGAUGGGAGGGAGGCUUAAGAGGGAGGGGAUAUGGGGACACGUGUAUUCAUAUGGCUGAUUCGCAUUGUUGUGCUACAGAAACUAACACAGCAUUGCAAAGCAAUUAUACUCCAGUAAAGAUCUAUUAAAAAAAAAAGUAUACUGAGUUAUUUGAAGUGAG